UGCCUAGAUAGCUGCCUUUGAUAGCCUU
rnacentral:piRNA from 1 species